rnacentral:tRNA from 1 species
GGCUGGGUGGCGAAAUGGCAGACGCGCACGGCUUAGGACCGUGUGCCGCAAGGCAUGGGGGUUCAAGUCCCCCCCCAGCCA